rnacentral:sRNA from 1 species
AAUUUGCUGCGGACAGAUAAAAUGGACGUGAUUGUCAAUGCCACCCGCCGUGAGAAUCAUGCCUUCACCCGCCAGCACUUCUGUACCCGCGCCAACGACCAUGCCUUGGGUAACGCCGUCCAUAAUGUCAGGAUUACCUGAUUUGCCGAUGGCGGAGAUCCGUCCGUUUAUAAUACCGAUGUCUGCUUUAAAAAUGCCUGUAUGAUCAAUAACAAGUGCAUUGGUAAUCACGAGAUCCAAGAUACCGUCUGCUGAUGUGCCGUGCGCGGCUUGUCCCAUGCCGUCGCGU